rnacentral:lncRNA from 1 species
AGGCAUUGCAGAACUGAUUUUAUAAAGGAAGAACGUGUACCAUAAAUAUUGCUAGUUAAGAGCAUGUAUACUGUUGAGUUCUACCUCCUCAGAAGUCUAAAAGGUUUCCUUCCUUUGAGGGUGAAGAAGCAGUAACAGGCGUCCUCCAUCAGACCCCUCUCUGUGGGCACCUAGAACACUUCCCAUUGACGUCUGCUUCAAGGGGAGGUCACUAAAAGUGCCCCACAUGAUGCAGCAGACAUUUCGCUGGUCCCAGUGCCCUCCCCAAGACCUUCCAGAUGGUGAAGUGUUAAGAGUCUAAAAUGGAGUAAAUGAUCUGCAGAAAUUCAGUGGUGUCAGAGGAGCCAGUCCAAAGUCACUCGGCUCUAAACGCUGCGAUUCUAUUAUUUUAAUGAUGCCCAGGAACACAAAGAGGCACGACAGACCCAGAGAUAUGGCACGCACACUUGGGAAACCCAGAAUAAUGGGAACUCAAAACUGUUAUUCAUUCGAGAGCUCAUCAGUCCAAGAAGAUGCCACCUUGGUCAGAUGUGGAUGAGGCAUGACUGGACCGACCCUGUGGGCUCGGCACCCACCUGUGCUAUAAACUGUUCAUGUGAAAACUGUGUGCCCCUGGGUUGUCUGACCUGCAGCUGUACCGCACUUUUAGUACAAUGCCUGCCACCCACAGGAGUGUUGUCACAAUUGAAGUGAAUGCUAUAAAGCAUUGUGAGCAACUCAAAAGAAGGGUGCUGCUUAACUACCCAAAAUUACUAUACACCCACAGGUAAAGCUCUCUCUCUCU